rnacentral:rRNA from 1 species
CCGGGUGGAGUAACACGUAUGCAAUCCACCUGUAACAGGGGAGUAACCCGGAGAAAUCUGGACUAAUACCCCAUAAUAUGGGCGCUCCGCAUGGAGAGUUCAUUAAAGAGAGCAAUUUUGGUUACAGACGAGCAUGCGCUCCAUUAGCCAGUUGGCGGGGUAACGGCCCACCAAGGCGACGAUGGAUAGGGGUUCUGAGAGGAAGGUCCCCCACAUUGGAACUGAGACACGGUCCAA